GGGCUCUUGGCUCAAUGGUAGAGCAUCCGCUUUGCAGGCGGAGGGUUGCGGGUUCGAAUCCCGCAGAGUCCA
rnacentral:tRNA from 1 species